UCCUGAGGAUUGUCUGUUUUUUUUAUGGUUUCCUUUGCUGUGUAAAUGCUUUUAAAAGUUGAAUUAGAUCCCAUUUAUUUUUGUUUUUGUUUUCAUGACUCUAGAAGGUAGGUCAAAAAAAGGAUCUUGCUCUAAUUUAUGUUGAAGAGUGUUCUGCCUGUGUUUUUCUCAAAGAGUUCUAUAAUAUCCUGUUUCUAAGCAUUUACCCAUUUCUUUUAGAUUAUCCAAUUUGUAGGUAUGUGAUUGUUCCUAAUAGUCUCUUAGGAUCCUUUGUAUUUCUGUGGUAUCCACUGUAAUGUUUCCUCUUUUUAAUUUAUAAUAUUAUCUAUUUGAGUCUUCUUUUUCUUAAUCUAGCUGAAAGUUUGUCAAUUUUACCUUUCAAAAAACCAGCUUUUAAUUUCAUUUAUCGUUUCUGUACUUUUUCUGGUCUCUCUUUCAUUUAUUUAUGUUACCCCCUUCCUUCUGCUAAAUGUGGGCUUAGUUUUUUUCUUCUUCUAGUUCCUUAAGGGAUAAAGUUAGGCUGCAUCUUUCUUUUUAAUGCAGACAUUUAUUGCUACAAACUUUUCUUAAAACUGUUCUUGCUGCAUCUCAUAGGUUUUGGUAUGUUGUGUUUUAAUUUGUGUUACAUUCAAGGUGGGUUUUUAAUUUUCUUUUUGUUUUCUUCUGUGACCCAAUUGUUUGUUUAGGACUAUGUUGUUUGAGUUCCACUUGUUUGUGAAAAUUUCAGCUUUCUUCUUGUUAUUGAUUUCUAGUUUCAUACCAUUGUGGUUGGAAAAGAUAUGAUUUCGAUCUUAAAUUUGCCACGACUUGUUUGCCAAGAGGUCAUAAGACCUCUUAUGUGACCUGUUGUGGAGAAUGUUCUGUGUGCAUUUAAGAAGAAUGUGUAUUCAUUCUGUUGGAUGGAAUGUUCUAUAUCUGUUUGAUUAAUUGGAUCUGAAGUAUAGUUCAAAGAAAACCAAGUGUUUCUUUGGUUUUCUGUCUAGAUCUAUCUUUUGUUAAAAGUGGAACAUUGAAGUCCUCAACUAUUACUGUAUUGUUGUCUGUUUCUCCCUUCAGAUCUUUGUUAAUAUAGCAAUCCCUGCUCUCUUGUGGUUUUCACUUGCAUGAGUAUCUUUUCCCACACCUUCACUUUAAGCCUGUGUGUGUCCUUAAAGCUGAAGCGAGUCUCUUGUAGGCAGCAUACAGUUGAGUCUUGUUUUUUUAAUCCCAUCAGCCACUCUUUUUUUUGAGAAUUCAAAGAUUCAUAUUUAAAGAAGUUAUUGAGAGGUAAAGACUAACUAAUGCCAUCUUUUUGUUUUCUGGCUGUUUUGAGGUCAUUUGUUACUUUCUUCAUCUAUUGCUACAUACUUUUGUGAGAUGUGAGAUGACUUUCCACAGUGAUAUGCUUUAAUCUGGGCCUCCCCAGUGGCUCAGAUGGUAAAGAAUCCUCCUGCAAUGCAGGAGACAGUCAAGAAGAUCCCCUGGAGGAGGAAGUGGUAACCCACUCCAGUAUUCUUGCCUGGAAAUUCCAUGCACAGAGGAGUUUGGUGGACUACAGUCCAUGGGGUCGAAAAGAGUUGGUCAUGGCUGAGUGACUAACACAGCAACAAUGCUUUAAUUUCCUUCUCUUUAUGAAUCUACUGUAGGCUUUUGCUUUGUUAUUCCCAUGAGGCUUACAUAAAGUAACUUAUAUUAGUCUACUUUAGGCUGAUAAUCUGAUGGAGUGCAAAACCCUUUUACUUUCCCUAUGUUUUUAUGACAAAAUUUGCAUAUAUAUUCAUUAACAAAUUAUUAUAGCUGUAACUUUUUAAAAAUACUUUUGUCAUGUAGCUUUUAUACUAGCAUUAAGUAACACACCACCAUAUUAGAGUAUUCUGAAUCUAACUAUAUACUUCUCUUGACCAGUAUUUUGUGUAUUUUUAUAUGUUUUCAGGUUACUAAUUGGCAUCCUUCAUUUCAGCUUGAAAAAUUCCUUUCAGCAUUUUCUAUAAGUAAAGUCUAGUGGUGGUGUGUUAGGCAAAGUAUCUCACCUUCAUUUCUGAAGGAAAAGUUUUCAUAGGUAAACUAUUCUUGGUUGGCAGUUUUUCUUCUUCAGUACCUGAAUAUAUUAACCUCUUCUCUUCUGGCUUGUAAGGUCUCUACUAAGAAAUCUGCUGAUUUCCUGAUGGGGGUUCCCUUUUAUGAGACUUUUUUUUCCUCUUGCUGCUCUAAAAUUCUCUAUUUUUUAUUUUAGACAAUUUUUAAUGUAUCUUGGGAAGAUCAUUUUAGAUUGAAAUUUUGGCAUAACCUAGUAGUUUCAAGAACUUGGAAGUCCAAAUUUCUCCCAGGUUUGAGAAAUUCUCAGCCAUUGUUUCUUUAAGUAAUUUUUCUACCUCUUUCUCCAUGUCUUCUCCUUCAUACAUUGUUUCUCUUACUGGUGUCCUCUAAGUCCUGUAAGUGUUCUUCCGUCCUUUUCAUUCUUUUUUCUUUCUGCUUCUCUGAUUAGGUAACUUCAAUUGAUCUGUCUCAUUGAUUCUUCAUCUUGUUCAAGUCUGAUGUUGAAGGUCUCUGUUGAAUUUCUCAAUUCAGUCAUUGUAUCCUUCAGCUCCAAAAUUUUCUUUUUCAGAUUUUCUAUUUCUUUAUGUACAUCUUGUUCUUGUACUAUUUUCCAGAUACCAUUCAAUUAUUUGCUCUCUUAUAGCUCUCCAAGCAUCUUUAGACAAUUAUUUUAAAUUCUUUAUCAAGAAAUUCCUGGGUCUCCAUUUCUUUAGGGCUGGUUACUUGAGAUUUACUGGAUUCCUUUGGUGGAGACAUAUUUCCCUGAUUCUUUGUGAUCCCUGUAGUCUCUCCUAGGUGUCUUGUGCCUUUGACGAAGCGGUCACCUCCUCUUGCAGACAUUAUGGAUUGACUCUGCUAGAAGCUCCCUCUUGGUGCCGAGCACUGCUGGCUUUGGGGAUGGGCUGAUGCAGAAAGAAUGAAGCUGUCUUCCCCUUUCUGUGGGGUUAUUCUCAGGUUUGAUGUUCGACUGCAUUGCUCAAGUUUAAGUGGACUCCAGAGCUGUUUAUGUUCAUGGACAACUACAUGUUGACUUCUGUGGAAGAAUGGUGACUGGGGAUCCUGCACUGCACUUUGGAGGCAUCGCCUCCAGUCCUGCACCUCAGACACAGUCAGCUAGAAGAGAUGCACAGAGCAAGGCACGUGGGAAUGGGCAGAGUGCUCAGUGUCCUCACCAGGCACACCACUCUCCUAGUACCUCUGCAUGUUUACCAACUUGGAAUCGACUAUUUGACCAUCAUUCCAAACGAUGGUCUGAGAGAAGUUAAAUCCUAGGCUGACCACUCAAUGCCAACAGAUACCAGCUCCAGUGGGACCCACUGCAGAUGACAUAGGAACGGCACACCCUAUCAGUAUUUUAAUCCUAUGAUCAUAGAAGUGACUUACUGAACUACACAGUGGCAGUAAAACAAAGCACAGGGUAUCUCUGCAGAUAGAUGCUCGGGAAAGUUACCUGCCACAUCACUGUAUCUCUAGCUAUCUAUCUCUAGUUAAAUUUUGCUUCCCACCUUUAACAGCUGGGCAUAAUACAGAUCACAAGUCCACAUCCUACCAGUUUAACUGAAAGUUAUUUUCUCUAAGCUUUCAUUUUUUCAUGUGAAAUUAGAAUGAUAAUUAUACUUACUGAGAGCUUGUUAUGUGCUAGGCACUGUUCUUUUUGUGCUUCCCAUUAGUUCUCAUUAUAACUCCAUGAGAAAGGUACUAUUUUUAUUCCCAUUUUAAAUAGGAAGAAAAUGAGACACAGAGAGGUUAAGAUACUUGCCCGAGGGCAGUGGUGGCAUUUAAACUGAACAGUGCAUAGAGAAUGCUUCCUGCAGGGUCUGGCACACAACCAAUUCAUGAUAGUUUUUAUUACAGUAAAAACCUGGGUAUUUUUUGGGUUAAUCUUAGCCAAAGCUUGAUUUUCUUACACCGGUGGCAGAAAGUCCCAGACACUUCUUCUCUCGAUUCAUCAUCAACUAUGACCAAGUUCCUCCUAAGACUUUAGUAAGUUAUCCACAGUUUUAUUAUGGUUCCUCCAAGUCUCCUCUCAAAAGGGUGGGGCAAAUCUUUUUCUAUAAAGGGCCAGGUCUAUCUUAGGAUUUGUAGGCCAGUAAUUGCUGUUACAUAUCCUUUUAAAAUGUAGAACCCAUUUUAGCUCGCAGCCUGUAGUUGGUUGGCUCUCUAGGAUAAUUAAUAGAGAACCAUUCUAGUCAUCAAAAAAGGCUUCACAUGGAGACAGAAUUAUCAGAAUUGGCUAAACUGCCUUGUUACACUGUCAUUGAAUCCCACCUACCAAAAGUUGCCUUGUUUUAAUGAGAUUUUUUUUCAUUAAAUUGGUACAUUUCUGAAAACAGUGAAGAAGCUUCCUAUGUUUUCAGAAAAGGUAGGUAGGUAGGUACAUCUAGAAAUCCCUACCUAAAGAGUGUUCUAAAGCAAUACUUGAUAAAGGGGAAAAGAGGAAAACAUGCCAGAAAAAAAAAAAAAUAGUUUUUAGAAAAGCAGCACAGAUUUUCGUUCAUGCAACAAAUAUUUAGAAUUUACUGAGCAUCUCUGUGCAGGCACUGCUCUUGGUAAUGCAAUUUUAGAGCUCAAAGGGACCUUAGAAAUUAUCUGGUCCAGUCUCCUUAUUUCAUGGAAAAUGAGAAUUCUGAGGUCCCCAAAUUUAAAAUAACUUGGCUAUCUCCAUUCAAAAUUAAAUGUAACAACAGACUUUUCUGUCCCUUAAAUUGAGCACUUAUGUAUGCUAUUAAAUGUCUGUUGAAAGCUAUUAUUCUCUACCACUUUUAAAUUGUCUAUUGAGCCUAGUAAAACAAUACAUGGUAAUUGUUUUUAAAACCUAUACACAGCAAAAAAACGUUUCUCUAAGUGGGCUACUUAGCGUCAGCCAUUAGAUUAAUAAGUCUUACACUCACCUUUAAUUUCUCCUCUUCCCAUAAGACGCCCGUCUCUCCUGUCCACACCCCCGCCUCUCUCAGUUGCUGUCUUUCCACUCUGUCCUUCCCACUCCAUUCUCCCACAUGUACCCCCCAUUCACAUUUCUUUAAAACCAGGGUCAAGUCACAUCACUCCUCCUCUCCCUACCCCCAAGGUUCUGAACAUUUUCAAGGUCCAAGGCUUUGCCUGGUCCCUCCGCGCCAAAGUUAGCUUCUUUCUCCCCAGUCUUAUUUACCACUAUUCUAUUAUUUCCUCUGAUGCGCCCUUCAGGUUGUUCCUGGCCCUUUCCUAAACAUGCCCUCAUAUUCAAGCUCCUGCUAAGGCAUUCCCCUCCACACAGAGUGCCUUUUCACCCAUCAUAACCUUCAGAACGCUCAUCCAUCCUGAAUGCCGUCGGCCACCCCCGCCCUGUCUUCAUUUUCCCAGCAGCCAGCUCUCCUUUAUGACAGGAACCACAUUUGACCUAUCAGAUUAUGUGGAUAGACGACUUAAUUCUUCUACUGAAAGCAAGCUACCCAUUCUGCAAGUACAAGAAGAAAUAGUUCUGCUUACAUUAAAACACCAAAUUUAUUGCAUAAUAUUGAACUAUAUGCACACACAUAGAAAAUAAACAUUUUGUAUAACUGUAUAUCUUUUUUUAAAUCUUGUAUUAUAAAGACUGAAAAACUACCAAUUGGAAUAAGUUUUAAAAACAAAAAGAAAAAGCAAAAAUCUACAGUCCUUCAUUGAGAUUUGAUGCUGUCUCAUGGUUCAUAAAUACUUCACUUUAUAUAAAUAAGUCUUUUCUCUAGUGACUAGGAAUUUAAAGUUAGGCGGACAUGGAUUCUUUGCUCAUAUAGAAUUUUCUUAUCUCAUGAAGAAGGUUCACCAUGUUGUGAUUUUUUAAAUACAUAUAUUUGCUUCAAACACAAUCCCUAAAAUCCCAUUGUAAACAAACAUUUCAAAUGCAAUAAACAAAAGUCCCAUAAUAAAGAAUAUCCUUUAGCAAUUAGGGAAUGGGGGGGGGGGAUCUGAG